GCGGACUGGCUCCAUUUGACUUUCGGGGAAAGCAGAAAGGUGUGUCGUUAUUGUGCAAGGAGAAAGAUAUUUGGACAAUUUUGUUCUUUUUCGGUGACUAUCUGCUCCUUCUGCGUCCGACACAGGACUCUGCAGUAAGUAAAUGUCCACAGAGGCCUGCAUGCUUAUACAGUUUUAUGAAAGUCUAUAACAAGUGUUCCAUAAGGUUCCUCUGACAUUUGUAUGCUUUAAAUAGGUGAACUGUACUUUACAUUUAUACUCGCCUAAAGUAUGAGUCUGCAUGCCUCUUCAGAUCAGAAAUACGUUAGGCAUGUUUCCUCAGAGUCAUUUGAGUCAAUGGUUGCUGAUCAAUGUUCAUGAUAAUUUGUAUAUCAAGGAACUAAUCUCACAGCACAUUGUUCAUUUAGUGGGCUCGUUUCUGUCAUUGUGCAAAUGUAUUGUUGAUAAGGUUGGGAAACCCGCAGUCGGCUGAGACUGAAGAAGUCACUUGGAUGAGUGACGAAAAAUUAUUCCCGCUCAAAACGUUACGUCCUGAUGAAUAGAAUCAGAUUUGGGGAUUCAGAAUCAUUUGUUUGCAGCAUUUUCAGCUGUAUAAAAACAUGAAUAUGUCAAUUACAUUUGUGCAAUCAUAAACUCCAUGUUAGACAUCAAAGAGUUUUUGAAGUGAAUCUAUCGUGAGUGCAAAAACUACGAUAUGACAAAAUGGCGUUUGAAAUUCUUGCAUCCGGAUCAUUACUUGGAUUUAGUGUACGAGUAUGAAAAUAGUAUGAAGGGAAAAAAAGUUUCAUUCAAAAUGAAACUCAAACUUAAAAAAAGUUGAUUUUUGGCAUCUCUAUUUAUUAAUGUGUUUCUUCUGAGGACAAAGUCAUCCGAUAAGAAAUCCCAUCUGCAGUGUUUAUCUUCAGUCUACUUCAGCUGUGAUAUGAAUGAACUGAAUCUGUUGUAAAUAAUGCUGUUCUUAGUUUUACUGUUUAGGGUACAAUGAAGAAUGUGGAGCUGCAGAGCUCUCCUCCUCUCAGUAUUAACUAUGAAUCUCUUCUGUGCUGCAGUGGCUCAAAUUAACUUCACUAUGAGUGCAGAACAGGAGGUCUACCAGGCUGAGGAAAAAAGUAACAUCACAAUAACAUGGCUGCUCCAUUUCCACACCAACAGACCUCGUGACUUCCUGCAAAUAGACUUAAUGAAUGUGAAAAGGAAGACACGGGUUUUCUUCUAUAACAGUGAGACUGACACUGAGGUGUAUCCAGAUGAGAACUACAGAGGACGACUGCAGUGUGAUCCACAGCUCGCCAGGAAAAGACGGCUUGAAUGUCUCUUAACUGAUCUCAGGCUCAACGACACGGGGACAUAUCACUGCAUCGUUGUCCUUAACAAAGAAGUUAGUUCCAAAACCUGUGACCUCAAUGUUACAACACCGUUUAACAAACCUGUGGAAGUGACAUCAAAACCAGUGAACUCUAAGAGGAUCGGCCUCAUUACAGCUCUUGCUUUGUUUGCUGUGGUGAUUAUAGCGCUAUCACUGCGUUGCCCGACUGUUUUUAAAAAAAAAUAAUAUUACUUGUAUUAAUGUGAAGUAGCAGCCCAUUACAGAUCACUCCUCAGGUCACCUCUGACUGUAAUGAGACUGCUGCCAAUGUUUUCAAAUUCCUCAGAGCUGUGCCACAGAGCAGUGCACAUUUACAUCACCCCCCACUCUUCUAAAAUACUAUGAAAAAGUCUUGAGCCCCCGAUCUCUUUACAUUUUGAAUCCCAGGAGUCAGAUGUUCUUGUAAGUCUUGAAAGUCCAGUUCUUAUGCCUGACCAAUUUUUUUCAGAAGUCUUUCCAGACAAAAGGUUAAACUCCAAGUAAUGCAUAAAAACCAAAGUUUGUCUUUUUGACAAUCUUUUAAUUAUUACUACCUCCUUUAAAAAAAUUAAAUAAAAAAAUGUUAAUUCACUUCAACAAAUGGAGAACAGCAACAGAAGGAUAAGCUAACUCCAGCUAUGAAGCUUUAAACAUUUUUCAUCCAGCACUUUGUUAUCAGACUUUGAUAUUGUCAUAUUUAGCACAUGUGUGGCUAAUUAACCCUUUAAGUAAUUAGCCCUCAUGUGUGUUUGUAUCUGCUCCUGUUUACAAACCAUAUGAAGCACUUUAGACUUUAUGAAGGUUUAUGUGUGCAUCUAUUUCAAAGGUCAACAUGGCCAAAAGACUUUGCUGUUGACACUUUGCACACAAAUUGGUGAGUUGAAGAACACCAAUCAAUGAGUCGACCAAUCAGUGUUUACCCAUAGUUGACCUUAAGAAGCUGCUUUUUAAACUUUUUUUUUUUUUUAAUUUGAGAUACACAGAAUACAAGAUCAGUAAAGUUGAUUUAAUGUUUAAAAUUUUAAAUCUCUUCAUUAGAUAUCGGGCAGUGUCAUAUCUGAAUGCACUGAUGUUUAACGGUGCGUUCACACCGAACGCAAUAGAGGCGAGCAAAAACGCCCCAAAUGCCCCUAAUGUGACGCGUGCACAUUCGCACCUCAACGCGUGUCCAGGGAAAAUCCACCAUGCCUCAAAAUUGCAUCUUUCCACGCGCGUGGACCGGAAAUGUGGGAGGAAGUUGUGCCAGAUGUGUUGUGCUGCAGAUGUCCUCUGAAUAAACACAUUAUCUUGUUAGCGGAAAGGUAUUUGUACAUCAGUGGGAAAAUAUUGGGACAGUAGGCGGGCUUGCUAGCUUUUGCACAGUUUCAUCGGGUCAGUCUGGAAAUUAAAAAGCAGAAUGAAUGAACUUACCAGGUUGCCCAAUCUCCUCACUAAUGUGCCUCCAAGCUAGGUCCGUUUUAUUCCUGUCUCGGUAUAAGUAGCAACUAGCAUCAUUUAGCUCUGGAUGAUUAGCCACGGCACUGAUGAGCUUUUCCUCCAUACUGAGUGACGAAUGAAGGGUUUUGGCUGGAUCUGCCCCUUUGACCUAGUUACAGCCACGUCACCAGGCUCCUGAUUGGUUGUCACGGCGCGAUUUGACGCCAGAGUUCAGAUUUUCCAACUCGAGCGUAUGCACAAAAUGCAACACACAAUCUGACACGCGUGGUUUUCUUCGCAAGUCAAACGCGCCCCACGCGGUACACUGAUGCGCAUUUCAUGGGUUUUGGCGAUUUCAUGACGCAAAUCUGCUUCCGCAUUUUCGCCGGAUGCGCAAUCGCGUGUCAUCGCGCUCUUUCCAUUGACUUUACAUGUGAACCUGACGCUUUGGCUGCCUCUUUCGCGUUCGGUGUGUGCGCACCGUAAGAGUGGCCACAAAAGUUGUCUCUGACUAGGAUUUUAGAAUUUGUUAAGCAAAACUGCAAAAAGAAAGUCUGGCUUUGUUGAACCUGGUCCACACAAUAUAUAUCUCAGGACUUAAUUUCAGUUUUACAUCUCUGUUUCACUGUGACGCCUUGAAAAUUUAAGGUCCAGAGUUUAUGGGGGUUAACUCAGACGUACCUCAGUUUCAGCCGUUUCGGUUUCUCUUUUUGAGUGACCUGAGUCUCAUUGACAAAAAAGUUGAUGUGGAGUGGAGAUGGUGUGUGGCUGCAAAGUGGACAGACUCUGAGAGCAGUAUUAGUAUAGUAUUAUUAUUUUAAUUAUAGGUUAGGUAUGUUAAUAAAUAAAAAAAGGACAUUGGUACUUUUUUCUGCAUAGAAAUGUCCAAAAUAAGUCUUUAAUUAGAACAAAAAUGUAAUUUAAAACAGUUUUGUACAAUAAAUAUUUCUUUUAAAUUUGGUAACAAAGAAGGAAUUUAUUAAUGAUGAUGGGAAAAAAAUGAAAGGACAUUAAGCAUGUACAGCUUCAUGCUAAUUUUGUAUAUUCAUGUUUCUGCUAUAUUCAAUAAACACU